UGGGGAAUCUUCCGCAAUGGACGAAAGUCUGACGGAGCAACGCCGCGUGUAUGAUGAAGGUCUUCGGAUUGUAAAGUACUGUCUUUGGGGAAGAACGGUCUCUUUGAGAAUAUUGAGGGGACAUGACGGUACCCAAAGAGGAAGCCCCGGCUAACUACGUGCCAGCAGCCGCGGUAAUACGUAGGGGGCAAGCGUUGUCCGGAAUUAUUGGGCGUAAAGGGCGCGUAGGCGGAUUUUUAAGUCCGAUGUGAAAGAUCAGGGCUCAACCCUGAGAGUGCAUCGGAAACUGGGGAUCUUGAGGACAGGAGAGGAAAGUGGAAUUCCACGUGUAGCGGUGAAAUGCGUAGAUAUGUGGAGGAACACCAGUGGCGAAGGCGACUUUCUGGACUGUAACUGACGCUGAGGCGCGAAAGCGUGGGGAGCAAACA
rnacentral:rRNA from 1 species